UACGUAGGGGGCAAGCGUUGUCCGGAUUUAUUGGGCGUAAAGAGCGUGUAGGCGGUUAGGUAGGUCCGUUGUGAAAACUCGAGGCUCAACCUCGAGACGCCGAUGGAAACCAUCUGACUAGAGUCCGGAAGAGGAGAGUGGAAGUUCCCGGUGUAGACGGUGAAAUGCGCAGAUAUCAGGAGGAACACCGGUGGGCGAAGGCGGUUCUCUGGGCAUUACCUGACGCUGAGGAGCGAAAGUGUGGGGAGCGAACAGG
rnacentral:rRNA from 1 species